CAUUUGUUAGCACACAUGGGCCUGUGGAGCCCAGUCCCAGGCAACAGUGUCCCCAGAGCCCCAGUGAUGGCUGGGUUGGGUCUGGGGCACUCCCAGGGAGCCCCCCAAGGUCUGCACGAUGGGAAGACUGACAGGUCCUCAGGACCAGGCCGCAGAGGGGCGGAGGACCAGGCUCCCUGGGCUCCUGGGUGGGGCUCCCCUGACUGCUGGCUCUCCCCACAGGUGGAACGUCCUGGGGCUGCAGGGCGCGCUCCUGUCCCACUUCGUGGAGCCCGUGUACCUGCAGAGCAUCGUGGUGGGCAGCCUGCACCACACGGGCCACCUCGCACGCGUCAUGAGCCACCGCAUGGAGGGUGUCGGCCAGCUGCCCGCCUCCUACCGGCACAACCGGCCUCUCCUCAGCGCGGUGUCUGAAGGAGUUCUGAAAACAGAAUCACUAGUGUUGGGCUCACCCAAGAGGCCCCACCUGCCCACCUGGCUGCCCACCUGCCCACCUGCCCGCCCACAGGAGGCGAUGCUGAGGAAGAGCCAGGUGGGCGAGGAGGGGCGGGGGGGCGCCAAGGUCACGUGGCCAGAGCGGAGAGCGGGUCUUCGGAACCCAGGGCCCCGGGCCCUCCACACCCUCCAGAGGCUGCAAGGUGACUCCGCGAGUACUGAGCCGGCUCCGCACCAGGAUUCCCC
rnacentral:sRNA from 1 species